rnacentral:rRNA from 1 species
GCCUAAAGCGUCCGUAGCCUGCUCUGUAAGUUUCCGGUUAAAUCCAUUAGCUUAACUGAUGGGCCGCCGGAAAAACUGCAGAGCUAGGGAGUGGGAGAGGUAGACGGUACUCGGUAGGAAGGGGUAAAAUCCUUUGAUCUAUUGAUGACCACCAGUGGCGAAGGCGGUCUACCAGAACACGUUCGACGGUGAGGGAUGAAAGCUGGGGGAGCAAACCGGAUUAGAUACCCGGGUAGUCCCAGCUGUAAACGAUGCAGACUCGGUGAUGCCCUGGCUUGUGGCCAGUGCAGUGCCGCAGGGAAGCCGUUAAGUUUGCCGCCUGGGAAGUACGUACGCAAGUAUGAAACUUAAAGGAAUUGGCGGGGGAGCACCACAAGGGGUGAAGCCUGCGGUUCAAUUGGAGUCAACGCCAGAAAUCUUACCCGAAGAGACAGCAGAAUGAAGGUCAAGCUGAAGACUUUACCAGACAAGCUGAGAGGUGGUGCAUGGCCGUCGCCAGCUCGUGCCGUGAGAUGUCCUGUUAAGUCAGGUAACGAGCGAGAUCCUUGCCUCUAGUUGCCACCAUUACUCUCAGGAGUAGUGGGGCGAAUUAGCGGGACCGCCGUAGUUAAUACGGAGGAAGGAAGGGGCCACGGCAGGUCAGUAUGCCCCGAA